UAGGGAAUCUUGCGCAAUGGGGGAAACCCUGACGCAGCAACGCCGUGUGUGUGAGGAAGCCUUUCGGGGUGUAAAGCACUGUCAAGAGAGAAAAAGGAGUAGGGUCUAAUAGGCCUUGCUUUUGAUGGUAUCUCUGAAGGAAGCACCGGCUAACUUCGUGCCAGCAGCCGCGGUAAUACGAGGGUGCAAGCGUUGUUCGGAAUCAUUGGGCGUAAAGGGCGCGUAGGCGGUUUGGUAAGUCAGGUGUGAAAGCCUCAUGCUUAACAUGGGAAGUGCGCCUGAAACUACCAAACUCGAGUCCCGGAGGGGAGAGCAGAAUUCCGCAUGUAGAGGUGAAAUUCGUAGAUAUG
rnacentral:rRNA from 1 species